AGCUAGAGAAAGAACAGAGAGAGAGAGAGAGAUUGGUUUUAACAUUAGAGAAAACAAAGCGGUGGAGGGAGCUAGAGAAAGCGCAGAAAGAGAGAGAGAGAGAGAGGGGUGUUAA